rnacentral:rRNA from 2 species
AUUUUUGGUGUCUUAGCUAAUUCGGAACAACACUAUACCAUCUCGAACUAGAUUGUUAAACGAAUUAGGGGUGACGAUAGUAAGGGGGUAGCCCUUUGUGAAAAUAACCUGAUGCCAAUUUA